ACUGCUGAGGAGUCCCAUAAUAGGACGAAACGGCCGUCCAGUGU
rnacentral:hammerhead_ribozyme from 1 species